GUAACUUUCUUCCCAAAGAAACGACAUACUGCACUUUCCUACUUGUAUGUUGUAACUGUUUUACCACUUUUGACACCUGAAACAAUAGUUAGAUGCAGAGGUUACAGUUUGCUUGACUUUGUUCCUUGCUGCUGUGUUAUAAUUCCGAGUCUUUUGUAAUCUACAGAAAAUAUUAUGACUAAAGAAGAUACAGCAAGUAAGCAAAUCACCAAAGAAGCGAACAUCAGCACAGGACAUAAUCAAAAGAAGAAUGUCCAUCUCUAAUAAUUUGCUAAUGAACUUAAUUGCGGGGUGGUUUAUGAUCAACAGCGGGCAUCGCAACUAUUUCAUUAAGCAAAUGUUUAGGCUGCAGCCUGCAAAAGAACAGAAAUAACAAUCUCAAUAACAAGGAGCUUUAGCGGCUGAAGCUUUCAUUAAGAGAGCUUUUUAGUUUUAAUGGUUUUCUUCAGAGAUGAGAGAGGUUGUCUGUGAUCUGCUAGUGGAAAAUAGUUAUAUUAACUCCUCUCGGGUGGAAAUAGAAUUUCAUGACAUCCAAGAGCAGGGAUGGAAACUAGUGAGAACAGAUAGUGCAAGCUGAGAAAGAUGAAUAUAAAGGAAGGAAAGAAAGGAAAAAAAGACUGCUAGAAGGGACUGCGAAAAUUUACAUCUAUUCAAUGUGUUAUUCAUCAAUCUAUACUCUAGCUGAUUAGAAUGGACAUAAAACUUCUGUAAAGGCAAUCACUGGGUUACAUAAGUCAUAGCUAACAGAAAUUUCUUCCCAAAGAGAAUUGAGAACACUGAGAAGUGAGAACAAUGAUGCCCAUUGUUUUACUCCUGUUAGGUUCAUUUUCUAUUGCUUUUCUUUUCAAUUUAAUUGCGGAGAAACAAAACAUUAGGAAUACUAGCAAAGUAUCAUUUGUCGUGGCAUGGUUCCUAGUUGCAGUUAAACAGUCGUUGCCUCCCCACCCACCCUUUGUCGGAUUGGCGGUUAUAUCAAACUGCUAACUGGAGAACCAUGGAUGUUGGCAGUGGCACCCCUGCCAUGGUGGUAAGGGAUGCCAUGUGAUGCCAAUGGUAAUAGUAUUUGUAAACAUCCUCCAAGAAAAGCAGGUGCAUCGAUUGCUUCAACAUUAUCACCAUCAUCUACAAGUAAUAAGCAUUAACUAUGACAAUGCAACCAAGUAAUCGGUGCUCGUAUUCUUAUAAGCAAAAUUGACAAUGAAAUUGAGCUGCAGGUUUGAAAUGGUAUGUAAUUUGAUAGUUCUGAGUUGUUUUCAAGAGGCUCUUGAUUUGUUUCCUGGUAGUAAAAUAUAGUCAAAACAACCAGAACAUUUCAAUUCUACCAUCCUCUUUACUUGGGAUUCUUAAUUCCUAAAACCAAAUCCACGCCUUCACAGUAUACUAAUCAAAUCAUUACUCGAUAAAAUCAUGGGAAAAAAAUCAGAAACCAACGAAAUCAAAGGAAUCACAGACAACCAGUAUCUGAUUAUCAAAAAAGAGACAAAGGGUAUUUUAAGAAGAAAGCAUUAGGCAUUACCUGAGUUUGAAAUAUGAAAUUAAGAGACAUCUUUGGCAUGGUGCCAGAAAGCAGCAGAGCAAAGAAUAAAAGCAAUGAAAGCAAAAAUUCCCAACCCAAUCAUCAAAGAAAUCCCAGCUACCACCAAAUCCAGUAAGGACUGGACGCUUAACCCCAUCAAUAUCACCAUCUUUUCCUCACUCUCUUUUGUGAUGAUUCUUCAAGAUAAAAUACGAAAUUUGAAGCUGGGUUUUUUUUUUUUUAUUUUUUAGUUCCCUGUUCUUGUAAGAAACCAGUAGAGAAAUGGAAGAAUCUCUCAUCCCCCUUCGGCUGUUCCCCCUAUAUGAUAUAGGUGUAAAGAGAGAGAGAUCCAAGACAGAACUAACCCAGGGACAGAAACACUUGUAUUUUUGGGAUUUGGGAAGGUUCUGAACAUUUUU
rnacentral:lncRNA from 1 species